rnacentral:lncRNA from 1 species
AAAGCUUGCAGGUUAGGAGUGAAGCAAGGAUUCUGGGGAACUGUUCAUGCUUAAAGGCUCCAGGAGGCAGGAUUCCUUCAGGCUGGUUGCAGGGAAGCUGGGUGCCUUUGCGGGAGGGGAGUUGGACCACAGAGCUCAGUGGACUUGGUCCUUAUGCUGUGUAAAGUACUUAUGCGGAGGGUGGCAAUCUUGAGCCCAGGUGUGGGCUAUGUGUGGAUGCACAUCUCUGGGACAGCAAGAGGGUGACAGGAGCAACCAUGGCCAGAAUGCAGGGGUGGGGAGAAGUGACAGCUCCUGCUGCCUGUGACACAGCCACAUCAUCAGUGACUUUGGAGGAGGACAUUCUUCCUACGUUUCAGGCACUAAGAUCUCCCUGUCCAUGGAAGAGACAUGGGGUAUCCAGGGUUGCUGUCUUCAGUAAGCUUUCCACAACAGAGCAAAGAGUCCCUGUUCUUUCUGAGAACAACCUAGGAAAUACAUGAGCCUGAAAAAGAACAUUUUGGUCUUCAUUGGACAAAAAUUAUCCCCUCCUUCUUGUCCCUUUCCUCCAAUCUUUUCUCCUUCCUCUUUUCUUCCUAUGCACAAGCUUUUCUAUAUUGGUAAAUUUUGCCAAGAAAUAUUCUUUUCCAGUUUGCUGUGGGCUUGGUUGUCAUAAACCAGCCUUCACAUUAAGGGCCUCUUUUAUAUUUAGUCUCCUUUGUCUUAAAAAUUACAAAUUUCUGGGCUGGGACUAUAGCUCAGUGGUAGAGCGCUUGCCUCACAUGUAUGAGGCACUGGGUUCUAUCCUCAGCUCCACAUAAAAAUAAAUAAAUAAAGAUAUUG